AAUCGAAUUUCAAUCAGCGCUCAGUCAGUAACGUCAUUCAUUCGCAAACAUUCAACGUUCAACGUCAUUUUUUUAAAGAUCUGGUUUCAAAAUUUUCGUGCUGAUAUGCCGGUGUACUAUGGAGGCUAUGUGGGCGGCCCCCACGGCGGCGGCUAUUGUCUAUUCUCACCGCCUUGCACGCCCACAACGGGAGGCUGCGGGCCCUAUGGAACCUUGCCCGGUCCCUGCUGUCCACCAUCCUGCUGAUUCGAUAAGGAAAACGUAUCAAGAUGAGCUACUUAACUUGUCACCUCUUCAGUGUAAAACUUGCCUUGCUUUUCAGUGUUUGUAGUUUGGGUAAAAAAAUAAUAAAAUAAAUAUUUAAAA